rnacentral:rRNA from 1 species
GACGAACGCUGGCGGCGUGCUUAACACAUGCAAGUCGAACGGAAAGGCCCUGCUUGCAGGGUACUCGAGUGGCGAACGGGUGAGUAACACGUGGGUGAUCUGCCCUGCACUUCGGGAUAAGCCUGGGAAACUGGGUCUAAUACCGGAUAGGAGCCAUUUUUAGUGUGAUGGUUGGAAAGUUUUUUCGGUGUAGGAUGAGCUCGCGGCCUAUCAGCUUGUUGGUGGGGUAAUGGCCUACCAAGGCGGCGACGGGUAGCCGGCCUGAGAGGGUGGACGGCCACAUUGGGGCUGGGAUACGGCCCAGACUCCUUCGGGGGGCAGCAGUGGGGAAUAUUGCACAAUGGGCGGAAGCCUGAUGCAGCGACGCCGCGUGGGGGAUGACGGCCUUCGGGUUGUAAACUCCUUUCGCUAGGGACGAAGCUUUUUGUGACGGUACCUAGAUAAGAAGCACCGGCUAACUACGUG